rnacentral:rRNA from 1 species
UACGUAGGGUGCAAGCGUUAAUCGGAAUUACUGGGCGUAAAGCGUGCGCAGGCGGUGAUGUAAGACAGAUGUGAAAUCCCCGGGCUCAACCUGGGAACUGCAUUUGUGACUGCAUCGCUGGAGUGCGGCAGAGGGGGAUGGAAUUCCGCGUGUAGCAGUGAAAUGCGUAGAGAUGCGGAGGAACACCGAUGGCGAAGGCAGCCCCCUGGGCUAACACUGACGCUCAGGCACGAAAGCGUGGGGAGCAAACAGG